CGCUGGCGGCGGCCUACACAUGCAAGUCGAGCGAGGACUUCGGUCCUAGCGGCGGACGGGUGAGUAACGCGUGGGAACGCGCCCUUUGCUACGGAAUAGUCCCGGGAAACUGGGUUUAAUACCGUGUACGCCCUUCGGGGGAAAGAUUUAUCGGCAAAGGAUCGGCCCGCGUUGGAUUAGGUAGUUGGUGGGGUAAUGGCCUACCAAGCCGACGAUCCAUAGCUGGUUUGAGAGGAUGAUCAGCCACACUGGGACUGAGACACGGCCCAGACUCCUACGGGAGGCAGCAGUGGGGAAUCUUAGACAAUGGGGGAAACCCCGAUCUAGCCAUGCCGCGUGAGCGAUGAAGGCCUUAGGGUUGUAAGGCUCUUUCAGUGGGGAUGAUAAUGACGGUACCCACAGAAGAAGCCCCGGCUAACUCCGUGCCAGCAGCCGCGGUAAUACGGAGGGGGCUAGCGUUGUUCGGAAUUACUGGGCGUAAAGCGCGCGUAGGCGGGCUGGAAAGUUGGGGGUGAAAUCCCGGGGCUCAACCCCGGAACUGCCUCCAAAACUAUCAGCCUUGAGUUCGAGAGAGGUGAGUGGAAUUCCGAGUGUAGAGGUGAAAUUCGUAGAUAUUCGGAGGAACACCAGUGGCGAAGGCGGCUCACUGGCUCGAUACUGACGCUGAGGUGCGAAAGUGUGGGGAGCAAACAGGAUUAGAUACCCUGGUAGUCCACACCGUAAACGAUGAAUGCCAGACGUCGGCAAGCACGCUUGUCGGUGUCACACCUAACGGAUUAAGCA
rnacentral:rRNA from 1 species